rnacentral:tRNA from 1 species
UAGAAUGAAGCUCGUUGGUUUGAGCAUUUAGCUGUUAACUAAAUAAUUAUGGGAUCGAGGCCCAUCUUUCUAG